UCUCCGUUGGUGAACCAGCGGAGGGAUCAUUACCGAGUUAUUCUACUCCCAAACCCCUGUGAACUUAUACCUUUACUGUUGCUUCGGCGGGUUAACGCCCCGGAAGGCCCGCGGGUGCCGGCGCAACCAGGCGCCCGCCGGGGGACCCAAACUCUUGUAUCUUUUUUAUAGCAUGUCUGAGUGGAAUCAUAAACAAAUGAAUCAAAACUUCCAACAACGGAUGUCUUGGUUCUGGCAUCGAGAAGAACGCAGC
rnacentral:misc_RNA from 1 species